AUUGAACGCUGGCGGCAGGCUUAACACUUGCAAGUCGAGCGGGGGAAGGUAGCUUGCUACCGGACCUAGCGGCGGACGGGUGAGUAAUGCUUAGGAAUCUGCCUAUUAGUGGGGGACAACAUUUCGAAAGGGAUGCUAAUACCGCAUACGUCCUACGGGAGAAAGCAGGGGAUCUUCGGACCUUGCGCUAAUAGAUGAGCCUAAGUCGGAUUAGCUAGUUGGUGGGGUAAAGGCCUACCAAGGCGACGAUCUGUAGCGGGUCUGAGAGGAUGAUCCGCCACACUGGGACUGAGACACGGCCCAGACUCCUACGGGAGGCAGCAGUGGGGAAUAUUGGACAAUGGGGGGAACCCUGAUCCAGCCAUGCCGCGUGUGUGAAGAAGGCCUUAUGGUUGUAAAGCACUUUAAGCGAGGAGGAGGCUACUCUAGUUAAUACCUAGGGAUAGUGGACGUUACUCGCAGAAUAAGCACCGGCUAACUCUGUGCCAGCAGCCGCAGUAACAC
rnacentral:rRNA from 1 species